rnacentral:rRNA from 1 species
UACGGGGGGGGCAAGCGUUGUUCGGAAUUACUGGGCGUAAAGGGCUCGUAGGCGGCCAACUAAGUCGGAUGUGAAAUCCCCAGGCUCAACUUGGGAACUGCAUCCGAUACUGGAUGGCUUGAAUUCGGGAGAGGGAUGCAGAAUUCCAGGUGUAGCGGUGAAAUGCGUAGAUAUCUGGAGGAACACCGGUGGCGAAGGCGGGUCUCUGGGCCGAUACUGACGCUGAGGAGCGAAAGCGUGGGGAGCGAACAGG